rnacentral:rRNA from 1 species
UACGGGGGGGGCAAGCGUUGUUCGGAAUUACUGGGCGUAAAGGGCUCGUAGGUGGCCAACUAAGUCAGACGUGAAAUCCCUCAGCUUAACUGGGGAACUGCGCCUGAUACUGGAUGGCUUGAGUUUGGGAGAGGGAUGCGGAAUUCCAGGUGUAGCGGUGAAAUGCGUAGAUAUCUGGAGGAACACCGGUGGCGAAGGCGGCAUCCUGGACCAAUACUGACACUGAGGAGCGAAAGCCAGGGGAGCAAACGGG